rnacentral:rRNA from 1 species
UACGUAGGUGGCGAGCGUUGUCCGGAUUUACUGGGCGUAAAGAGCGCGCAGGCGGUCGCACAAGUCGCGUGUGAAAGCCCCCGGCUCAACUGGGGAGGGUCACGCGAUACUGUUCGACUCGAAGGCAGGAGAGGGAAGUGGAAUUCCCGGUGUAGUGGUGAAAUGCGUAGAUAUCGGGAGGAACACCAGUGGCGAAGGCGACUUCCUGGCCUGCUCUUGACGCUGAGGCGCGAAAGCUAGGGUAGCAAACGGG